GAGGUCUUCAAAUGAAGCAUUACCAAAUUAUUCUCUCAAUAAAUCUAGGCAUUUUAACUCACCCUGAGGAAAAAGCCUUCUCUGGCAGUUCCUAUUGGACUUACUUAAUCCGAGCAUCGCCUACGAAGAAGAGCCGACGCAGAACAUGCAAGAGGUUGGAGGAGGUUGGAAUCUGAAAGCAGUAUUUUCUUAGCUGAUAAAUGAUGUGAGACCUUUCGGAGUAAACAAAGUAGUGUUGGACAAGAAGCCGGAUUGAAUGCACGAGUUCGGCUAGAUAUCAGUUACUACAGUCGGUGUCUUCAUGUAGUUCAGCGUUUUCAUAACCCAGGAGAUCGAGUGAUCCCUUUUCGCCUGCCUCGCUGGACAAUUUCAAACAGAUGGGUGUAAUCUCUCACCCAUAGUCGCCACAAAACCAGCAUGGAACUCACAUGAAAGCUUCCCAGCGCACCGUUCUGCCUUCCCCAGACUGUAACAAUAAAGGCUUUUUUAAAGGCAGGUGUUGAUCUGAACAUAAGAGCCAAAA